CUGCUGCCUGAUCGCUCCAUGAGAGCGACAGUGCAGCGUUAACCCCUUCACAACAGCAAAAACGAGCCCCCACAAGCCCUUUGAUGACUCCUGUAGGCAUGGAAGCUUACAGCAAGCGACAGUGCAGCGUUAACCCCUUCAAUGCCACAAUUGUGUAUGACACAUUUGUGGCAUUGCAGGGGUUAACAUUUGUCCCCACAAGCUUGUGGGGACUAAAUAUCAAUCAAUGCUGUGCUCCAAUGGAACAUCAGCAUCGAAAGAGUUAAAAAAAAAUUAAUAAAAAAA